UAUGUAUUUAUUUAUUUAUUUGAAUUUUAUUUUUUGGGGGGUUACACCUCUUGGGGUGUAGUCCGCCAUAAAACCCACAGAGGAAAAAAGAACAACAACAAGGUCCCGGAUAGCACGUAUCUUUUAAAACAAUAUGUGUGUUUCUUUCAAAGUAGUUCUAUAAUCUGUCAUUUGUUGUACCCCCUAGCAUAUGUUAUCAUUGUCUAUUUGUAUACUUCUUGUACAUAUACAGAUUAUUCUACAUUAUAAAAAAUAGCACUAGUCCUGAGCCUCCAGUAUCCCAUACUGCAUUGCGAGUGUGUUUGCAUUUUACAUUCAGCGGCGCUACUGUUUUUGUUGGCAGGGCAUUUUUUCUUUUAGGAAUUAUCAGCUUAUUUUUUUAAAUAACGAAUCUUAGUUUUAAGUACAUCACACGCAAACAUGGAGAUCGGCACAGAAAUAAGCAAGAAAAUACGGGCUGCUAUCAAGGGGAAACUUCAAGAACUCGGUGCCUAUGUUGAUGAAGAGUUACCAGACUAUAUCGUGGUGAUGGUGGCCGACAAGAAGACUUCACAGCAGAUGUCUGACGACCUGGCCCUCUUCCUUGGAAACAAUACCAUCAAGUUUACAGUCUGGUUACACGGAGUCCUGGAGAAGCUGAGCUCUGUGGCAGUAGGUAUGUUCAGGUUACACGGAGUCCCUGAGAAGCUAAGCUCUGUGGCAGUAGGUAUGUUCAGGUUACAUGGAGUCCUGGAGAAGCUGACCUCUGUGGCAUUAGGUCUGUGGCAUUAGGUCUGUGGCAUUAGGUCUGUGGCAGUAGGUCUGUGGCAGUAGGUAUGUUCAGGUUCACCGGAGUCCUGGAGAAGCUGAGCUCUGUGGCAGUAGAGUCGAUGAGGCCUCCGCUCUACUCUGAAGCUGUGGCAUCUCAGCUGCAAAGAGUGAGGGGUCGAAGGGGCUUGUGGUGUCCAGCUCUCGCUCUCUGAUAGGACAGAGGCCCGCGUGUCCAUCUCCGCCCAUGAGCACAGGUUGAUUUAUGAGACAUGGAUUAAAUGUUGAACAUAUCACUGUUCUAGUUGGCUUUGGUAAUGUGGAAGAGCCCUAACCCUUUUUUUUUUUUUUUUAAAUCAAGGGGUGUGAACACUUUCUGAAGGCCCUGUACCUAGUAUUACCUACACAGAGGACAAACUCUAAAUGGGUUUUACCACCCAUUUUAAAAUGACCUAUCAUUUUCAUGUCCGGGUUUGUCUAGAGUUAAUGCACGAAUAUGUUAUUUUGCAUUUUGAUAAUUUUCUCGUUCUACUCAACAUUAUUUUUUUUUACUGGAACUUUUUGUUUAAGUCGAAGUGACGUCUUUCGUGACUGAUCACCAAACUGUGUUCUGGUUUGUCCUAAUGCAGUGCUUUUGUUUUUCUAGCUAGACGACAAGAGACGAGCAGCCCACAAAGAUCUCCGCCACGGCACAACCCAGACAGGAAGACCACGUCAGUGACUCAACCCACUCAAGUGACACACCCCUCCUAGGGACGGCAUGGAAGAGCACCAGUAAGCCAGUGAC